GACGUAGGGUGCGAGCGUUGUCCGGAUUUAUUGGGCGUAAAGAGCUCGUAGGCGGCUUGUCGCGUCGACCGUGAAAACUUGGGGCUCAACCCCAAGCCUGCGGUCGAUACGGGCAGGCUAGAGUUCGGUAGGGGAGACUGGAAUUCCUGGUGUAGCGGUGGAAAUGCGCAGAUAUCAGGAGGAACACCGAGUGGCAAGGCGGAUCUCUGGGCCGUAACUGACGUGCUGAGGAGCGAAAGCUGGGGAGCAACAGG
rnacentral:rRNA from 1 species